UUAUUCUUGUUUGUGUUCUCGGCACCUCACAAGGAUUUGAACAAAUAGAUAUUUGUUGAAUGGGAUAUAAUUUUGGAUUAUCUGCCGAUAGGGAUUUUCUGGACCAUUGCUCCCAACUGUCAGUGUGCCUAACCCUGAACUUACCCGGAGCUGACCUACUGUUACAUCAGAGUCUAGGCAAGACCGAAAUCUUACUACUGCAGGCAUAUCCAGGCAAACGCUCCACUGGCACCUUAAUAGCAUAUGGCAGCAUCUCUCCUAGAAUAAGGUAGGUUGUUCCUAGAGGACAGUUCAGUGCUUUAAGUUGGCACCGACAGAAAAUACUAGAAGCUUAAUGUAGCCUUUAAAGAAAUUACAUCCUGGGCUGGGGAUUUAGCUCAGCAGCACAGCGCCUGCCUGGCAAGCACAAGGUCAUGAGUUCGAUUCCUGGUACUGGAGGAGUGGGGGGGGGUGGGCAAAAAAAAAAACAAAAACAAAAACAAGAAGUUAAAUCCCUUCUAGCCUGAGGGAAAACAGCUCUUUCACCUAAAGCUGAAUUUCAGCUUUAAGUCCUGCGGGUGAGUGACGCUAGUGAGCUGGAGGCUGAAAACCAAGAGGCUGUGCCUGGGGACAGGUUGCACAGUCACUGGCUGCAGUAGAGUUUUGUUUUUGUCUUUGCCCUUUGCCCCAUCUCCUCAUCUUACCUUCCUGGUUCUCAUUUUAUUUGUAAACUCUCCCCAAAACCUGCCCCAGUAUCUCUGCAUCCCUUCAGCCCCUUCUAGGUGGUCCUUUGCGACCUAGGGAGUAUAAGGUGCACUUUUUUCCUUAAUGGUGAGGUAAAUUAGGGUGAACCCGAGAGUGCUAUGGUCCUAAAGCCCAGGAAUGGACAAGUUUAGUACCUCAGUGCACAGUUUGAUGACCCCACAAUUUAUAUCCAAGCUGAGGCAUUUCUAAAAGUGAAGGAGGCUCUAAAAUAACUAAUAGGUACAAUAACC
rnacentral:lncRNA from 1 species